GUACUUCAGACGUAAAACGCCUGCUAAGCCUGACUGCUCCGACGACGGCGUCCCGGAGGUCACCGUGUCCUGUCCUGGCACCCAGGGGCUGGUGUAUCACGGACAAGGCCCCAGGGACCAAAUGGUGACGGCUCCAGCAUGAGGACCAGCUCCAUGUUUCACUGCCACCAUCUGAGGAAAACUGUGAUCUGAUGUUUUAUGUUGCUUCUUCAUCGCUGAGCUUCUUCUCUGUGUUGAUUGUGGCCAAACAAAUCCUCUAUGUGCUGCUGCAGCCAGUCAAAUGUUUGCCUGAACUCGCCUUAUCUGAGUGCCUCUGGGCAAGGCAGCUAACACUACAUGGCCUUUCUAUCAUUGGUUUUCUACGUUAAAGUCAAAAACAAAAACAAGGUCCAAUAAAUCAGUAAAAGCUCAAAAUUAACAUUCAUGUCCAGGAUUUGUGAAUGGAAACUUCACAGUAAACCUGCAUUUAAACAUUCCUACAAAUUACAAUAUUCUGAUUUAUAAACAUGUUUUUAGUUUCAACUGAUUUUAUAUUCUGAGGUUGUUUACCAACUUUAUUUAACUUUAGUUCUGCCACUGUGAAGACGCCUGAUUCACUGUUGCACCGUUACUGUGAGUUUAUUUCACGUCUCAACUGUCAAUAUAUUUAACAGACGUUCAGCUCAGUAUCUGCUUUAUUGCUAAAUUAAUCUCAAUAUUUCAUUACAAUAUUCCUGUUUUACUGGAUCUUUACUGGAUAUUCUGUUUUAACAUUUCUUAUAUUUUUUACUUUUAAGGGUUGGACUUUACUUAUAUCUUUACAUGUUUAUUUAAUAGU